rnacentral:rRNA from 1 species
CAGUAGCCGCGGGAAUACAAAGGGUGCGAGCGUUAAUCGGAUUUACUGGGCGUAAAGCGUGCGUAGGCGGCUUUUUAAGUCGGAUGUGAAAUCCCUGAGCUUAACUUAGGAAUUGCAUUCGAUACUGGGAAGCUAGAGUAUGGGAGAGGAUGGUAGAAUUCCAGGUGUAGCGGUGAAAUGCGUAGAGAUCUGGAGGAAUACCGAUGGCGAAGGCAGCCAUCUGGCCUAAUACUGACGCUGAGGUACGAAAGCAUGGGGAGCAAACAGGAUUAGAUACCCCGGUAGUCCCUGUCUCUUAUAC